rnacentral:rRNA from 1 species
UAGGGAAUCUUCCGCAAUGGACGAAAGUCUGACGGAGCAACGCCGCGUGAGUGAAGAAGGAUUUCGGUUCGUAAAACUCUGUUGUUAGGGAAGAAAAAAUGUAUAGUAACUAUAUACAAAAGAGACGGUACCUAACCAGAAAGCCACGGCUAACUACGUGCCAGCAGCCGCGGUAAUACGUAGGUGGCAAGCGUUGUCCGGAAUUAUUGGGCGUAAAGCGCGCGCAGGUGGUUUAGAAAGUCUGAUGUGAAAGCCCACGGCUCAACCGUGGAGGGUCAUUGGAAACUAAUAAACUUGAGUGCAGGAGAGAAAAGUGGAAUUCCUAGUGUAGCGGUGAAAUGCGUAGAGAUUAGGCGGAACACCGGUGGCGAAAGCGGCUUUUUGGCCUGCAACUGACACUGAGGCGCGAAAGCGUGGGGAGCAAACAGG